ACACACUCCAUCCUAGGUCACCAUAGUAACAAAGGUUCUGAAAUUAUUUAAUCUACUUUCAAAUUCCAUCUCCAAGGUGAACAAAACCAAUGUAAGAGAAGAAAUAUUAGGCCAGUGAAGGCCAGGGGAAUAUUUAAGUUUUAAUGCUAGUGUUUUGAACUUUAAGACAAAGAGCAUGAAGGUUUGUGUAGAUCUCCAUUUUAUUUCACUUAGAAAUACUUCGGGUUUCUAAAUGGAAGAACAGAGGGUCACCUGGAAAUUAAUGGGCAGUCAAUUUGGAAUAAAUGAAGCAGAUUAGCUGAUAAUAUACGGCUAUAGCAAUGUGGAGCUUUAUUCCUGUAUACAGAUGGCAAGGGUGCCUGGCUGUUUCACCAGUCUUACACACACUUCAUAUCAUUCCUCCUGCAGAAGUCACUUCAGUGUCCAGCUUGAUGCUUCCUCUUUUUCUUACGUAAGCUUAUGGGAGUUCAUAGAAGAACACAGAGUUCAAAGAAGAACCUGCCUUUGCUGUUGGAUACAUCAUGUCUUCCUAGGUGACUGAAGACCCUAUGAAAUUGGGGGUGCUGGAGAUACGUAACCUGAAAGAAUCCAAACCAUGGAAUGGCAAGAAGACUAUAAGCCCAGUUGGUGGAAGCCACCUUUCAAGGGGCUGAUAACAAGCGCAUCCCUCCCCACCUGCGUCUGCUCAGGCAGCCCCAUGGGGUGGUUUAGCAUGCUGCAGCUGUGCAGAUUUCCAUCUCUGAUAAAACUUUGCCUGAGAGCUAUUUGCUGAUGAUUGUCAACAAUCAAAUGAAUUAUAGAUUAUGUUGGUAAACAAAAUGCUGCCUUGAUGAAUGAUGAGUUGGCUCUAUUCUGACAUGACUGCUAAGUCAUUCAAAGCGCUGAUUAAACCCAUUACUGUAAAAUAAUCACCAUCCAUUACCUUUAAUGUCGUGAACUGACAACCUAGUUAAGGCAGCUGAUGGUGUCAGCAAAGUGAUUUGUUGUACUGCAUGUCCAUCGACAAUAAAUCACUCCGAUAAAUCA
rnacentral:lncRNA from 1 species